rnacentral:rRNA from 1 species
UACAGAGGUCCCGAGCGUUGUUCGGAUUCACUGGGCGUAAAGCGUGUGCAGGUGGUUUGGUAAGUUGGAUGUGAAAGCCCCGGGCUUAACUCGGGAAGUGCAUUCAAAACUACCAAACUUGAGUAUGGAAGAGGUUCGUGGAAUUCCUGGUGUAGUGGUGAAAUACGUAGAUAUCAGGAGGAACACCGGCGGCGAAGGCGGCGAACUGGUCCUAUACUGACACUCAUACACGAAAGCGUGGGUAGCAAACAGG